rnacentral:rRNA from 1 species
AGGACGAACGCUGGCGGCGUGCUUAACACAUGCAAGUCGAGCGGAAAGGCCCUUCGGGGUACUCGAGCGGCGAACGGGUGAGUAACACGUGAGUAAUCUGCCCCUAGCUCUGGGAUAGCUCCGGGAAACCGGAAUUAAUACCGGAUAUGACCUAGGCCGACAUCGGCCGUGGUGGAAAGUUUUUCGGCUAGGGAUGGACUCGCGGCCUAUCAGCUAGUUGGUGGGGUAAUGGCCUACCAAGGCGACGACGGGUA